rnacentral:rRNA from 1 species
UGGGGAAUAUUGGACAAUGGACCGAGAGUCUGAUCCAGCAAUUCUGUGUGCACGAUGACGUUUUUCGGAAUGUAAAGUGCUUUCAGUUGGGAAGAAAAAAAUGACGGUACCAACAGAAGAAGUGACGGCUAAAUACGUGCCAGCAGCCGCGGUAAUACGUAUGUCACAAGCGUUAUCCGGAUUUAUUGGGCGUAAAGCGCGUCUAGGUGGUUAUGUAAGUCUGAUGUGAAAAUGCAGGGCUCAACUCUGUAUUGCGUUGGAAACUGUGUAACUAGAGUACUGGAGAGGUAAGCGGAACUACAAGUGUAGAGGUGAAAUUCGUAGAUAUUUGUAGGAAUGCCGAUGGGGAAGCCAGCUUACUGGACAGAUACUGACGCUGAAGCGCGAAAGCGUGGGUAGCAAACAGGAUUAGAUACCCUGGUAGUCCACGCCGUAAACGAUGAUUACUAGGUGUUGGGGGUCGAACCUCAGCGCCCAAGCAAACGCGAUAAGUAAUCCGCCUGGGGAGUACGUACGCAAGUAUG